AGACACAAGAAGGUACCAAAGAAAAUGAAAAAACCCUUGGUAGUAACGGAAGCAUGAAAAAUUAAGCGCCCCCAUUUCUCCCAAACCAAGUUCGCGUAUGUUUUCGUGAACAAACACCUUGGAUCUUUCCGGUUCGCCAGGGCAGCGAGCAAAGCAGCAGCGAACGGAAACCCCGCAGGGCUGCGCACCGCAGCUAAACCGACGCUCGCAGGAGAGGGGAAGUGAGUGGCAGGGUUCCCUGCCAAGACUCACUGCUGGGAAACAGGCAGUGAGUGGAAGCAGCAGCAGCUCUGGAGACAGCCCCAGCGGAGACAACACUCUACCUGGACAUUUUAUUUGCUGUAAUGUUCUUACGAGUUGCAAGCCUGGUCCACUUUUUACUUCACAACUAAUGUGGAAGAGAACACAUCUGAUUCCAAGGAGAGGAGACUCAUCUCUUGUCCUCAAUAACAAAUGAGGAAUCUGAAGAGCUUGUUUUAAACAAUUUUGGUGGUCUUACAACCCACUGGCAUAGAAUCUCGAGUGUACUUCUUUCUAUUCACCAUGCCACCUACUUCUACUGCAGACAUGAAAUUAAUCAAGAUCACGUAGAAAUCCAUUGGCUUGGGAGGACAGAACAAUCUUAUUCAUAGAAACAUGAUGUUACUUUAUUAGUAAACAAAUUCAGUAUAAA
rnacentral:lncRNA from 1 species